rnacentral:rRNA from 1 species
UCGGGAAUCUUCCGCAAUGGGCGCAAGCCUGACGGAGCGACGCCGCGUGAGCGAUGAAGGCCUUCGGGUUGUAAAGCUCUGUGGGGAGGGAAGAAUAAGCGUUGGUUAACAACCAGCGUGAUGACGGUACCUCCUUAGCAAGCACCGGCUAACUCUGUGCCAGCAGCCGCGGUAAGACAGAGGGUGCAAACGUUGUUCGGAUUUACUGGGCGUAAAGCGUGUGUAGGCGGCUUUGCAAGUCGGAUGUGAAAUCCCACGGCUCAACCGUGGAAGUGCAUCCGAAACGGCAUCGCUUGAGUCUCGGAGAGGAAGGUGGAAUGCUUGGUGUAGAGGUGAAAUUCGUAGAUAUCAAGCAGAACACCUGCGGCGAAGGCGGCCUUCUGGACGAUGACUGACGCUGAGACACGAAAGCGUGGGGAGCAAACAG